AGUGAACGCUGGCGGUAGGCCUAACACAUGCAAGUCGAACGGCAGCACAGUAAGAGCUUGCUCUUACGGGUGGCGAGUGGCGGACGGGUGAGGAGUACAUCGGAAUCUACUUUUUCGUGGGGGAUAACGUAGGGAAACUUACGCUAAUACCGCAUACGCCCUACGGGUGAAAGCAGGGGAUCUUCGGACCUUGCGCGAUUGAAUGAGCCGAUGUCGGAUUAGCUAGUUGGCGGGGUAAAGGCCCACCAAGGCGACGAUCCGUAGCUGGUCUGAGAGGAUGAUCAGCCACACUGGAACUGAGACACGGUCCAGACUCCUACGGGAGGCAGCAGUGGGGAAUAUUGGACAAUGGGCGCAAGCCUGAUCCAGCCAUACCGCGUGGGUGAAGAAGGCCUUCGGGUUGUAAAGCCCUUUUGUUGGGAAAGAAAAGCAGCAGGUUAAUACCCCGCUGUUCUGACGGUACCCAAAGAAUAAGCACCGGCUAACUUCGUG
rnacentral:rRNA from 1 species